CUACGGGGUGCACCAGUGAGGAAUAUUGCACAAUGGGGGGAACCCUGAUGCAGCAACGCCGCGUGGAGGAUGACGCAUUUCGGUGUGUAAACUCCUUUUAUAUGUCAAGAAAAUGACGGUAGCAUAUGAAUAAGCACCGGCUAACUCCGUGCCAGCAGCCGCGGUAAUACGGAGGGUGCAAGCGUUACUCGGAAUCACUGGGCGUAAAGGACGCGUAGGCGGGCUUGUAAGUCAGGUGUGAAAUCCUACAGCUUAACUGUAGAACUGCACUUGAAACUACGAGCCUAGAGUAUGGGAGGGGCAGAUGGAAUUAGUGGUGUAGGGGUAAAAUCCGUAGAUAUCACUAGGAAUACCUAAAGCGAAGGCGAUCUGCUGGAACAUAACUGACGCUAAGGCGUGGAAGCGUGGGGAGCAAACAGGAUUAGAUACCCUCGUAGUC
rnacentral:rRNA from 1 species